rnacentral:rRNA from 1 species
UACGUAGGGGGCAAGCGUUGUCCGGAUUUACUGGGCGUAAAGAGCGCGCAGGCGGUCGUUCAAGUCGAGUGUGAAAGCCCCCGGCUCAACUGGGGAGGGUCAUUCGAUACUGAUCGACUUGAAGGCAGGAGAGGGAAGUGGAAUUCCCGGUGUAGUGGUGAAAUGCGUAGAUAUCGGGAGGAACACCAGUGGCGAAGGCGACUUCCUGGCCUGUUCUUGACGCUGAGGCGCGAAAGCUAGGGGGGCAAACGGG